UACGUAGGCAGCGAGCGUUGUUCGGAGUUACUGGGCGUAAAGGGUGUGUAGGCGGUUGUUUAAGUUUGGCGUGAAAUCUCCCGGCUCAACUGGGAGGGUGCGCCGAAUACUGAAUGACUUGGAGUGCGGGAGAGGUGAGUGGAAUUCCUGGUGUAGCGGUGAAAUGCGUAGAUAUCAGGAGGAACACCGGUGGUGUAGACGGCUCACUGGACCGUAACUGACGCUGAGACACGAAAGCGUGGGUAGCAAACAGG
rnacentral:rRNA from 1 species